CGUGGAGACAGGUGGUGCAUGGCUGUCGUCAGCUCGUGUCGUGAGAUGUUGGGUUAAGUCCCGCAACGAGCGCAACCCUCACCUCUUGUUGCCAUCAGGUCAUGCUGGGCACUCUAGAGGAACUGCCCCGGUCAACGGGGAGGAAGGCGGGGAUGACGUCAAGUCAUCAUGCCCCUUACGUCCUGGGCUACACACGUGCUACAAUGGCCGGUACAAUGGGAUGCGACGCCGCGAGGUAGAGCUAAACCCAAAAAGCCGGUCUAAGUUCAGAUUGGAGUCUGCAACUCGACUCCAUGAAGGAGGAAUCGCUAGUAAUCGCGUAUCAGCACGACGCGGUGAAUACGUUCCCGGGCCUUGUACACACCGCCCGUCACACCACGAAAGCCAGCUGUACUCGAAGUCGCUGAG
rnacentral:rRNA from 1 species